AGUCACUGACAUUAGAUACCCCUGUAGUCCCAGCCGUAAACAAUGUGCGUUAGGUGUGUCGGUAACCACGCGUUACUGAUGCGCCGAAGUGAAAUCGUGAAACGCACCACCUGGGAAGUACGGUCGCAAGGCUGAAACUUAAAGGAAUUGGCGGGGGAGCACCACAACAGGUGGAGCCUGCGGUUUAAUUGGAUUCAACGCCGGACAUCUCACCGGAUAAGACAGCUGAAUGAUUGUCAAUCUGAAGGUUUUACAUGACUAGCUG
rnacentral:rRNA from 1 species